CAGAGAGUCACAGCCAAUCAAUUGGAAGCAGAACUUCAAACUACUAAUGGAUUCUGUUGAGGGUUAUGCAAAAGACUGGGCAAAAAGAGAAAAGGUUGAGGUUGACACUCUUUCGGAGUGGGUAAAAUCAGUGAGGUCAUUGAUUCAGAUAAGAGUUAGUAAGCUCAAAGGGCCAAUGAGCACCAAAGCUCCUUCCAUCUUUAAAGACCCUCAGGUCAUAGAGGAGUUGUCUUGCCUCCAUGACAAAUAUGUUGUCGUUCCAGCUGACAAAGCCUCAAACGAUAUUGUUUUUGUUUGCAAGAAACACUACAUUGACUGCCUGAUUAAGGAACU
rnacentral:lncRNA from 1 species